UAGUCCACGCCCUAAACGAUGUCGACUGGUUGUUGGGGGUUUGACACUCUCAGUAACGAAGCUAACGCGUGAAGUCGACCGCCUGGGGAGUACGGCCGCAAGGUUAAAACUCAAAGGAAUUGACGGGGACCCGCACAAGCGGUGGAUUAUGUGGAUUAAUUCGAUGCAACGCGAAAAACCUUACCUACCCUUGACAUGUCCGAGAGCCUGCUGAGAGGCGGGUGUGCCCGAAAGGGAAUCGGAACAC
rnacentral:rRNA from 1 species